rnacentral:lncRNA from 1 species
UAGAUGAUUGCUCCACAUCCAGCACCUAACACCAGUACUCAGUUAAAUUUUUUGCUGAAUAAAUCAAUGAAUGGAGAGGUAAAGAGGAACCAGAAGUUGGGGUUACGGAAGUCACUGAUGGAAGAGUUUCAAGAUAGUAGAAGUGGUCAGCCCUGUUAAGUGACAAGCCAAGGACUGAAGAAAGGCUGGCAGAUUUGGCAAUCAGAUGAAGUGACCUGACCAAAGAGCAGCUUGUGUGAAGUAGUGAGGACAGGCGCUGGUCUGCAACGGGUUUAGGAGGAAAUGGAAAUGAGGAAGAAGAGAUAGAGCCUCGCUCAGUUUCCUGGAGUGUAAUGGCAUGAUCUUGGCUCACGGCAACCUCUGCCUCCCGGCUUCAAGUGAUUCCCCUGCUUCAGCCUCCCAAGUAGCUGGGACUACAGGCAUGCACCACCAUGCCCAGCUAAUUUUUUUUUUUAAAUAUUUUAGUAAAGACAGGGUUUAACCAUGUUGGCCAGGAUGGUCUUGAUCUCCUGACCUCGUGAUCCGCCCACCUCGGCCUCCCAAAGUGCUGGGAUUACAGGCGUGAGCCACCUUGCCCGGCCUUCUAUUCCUUUUUCUAAUGCAUUUGCCCCAGCUAUCUGUAUAGCCUACAAUCUGGUAGACGGACCACAGG